GAUCCAUUAGCUCACCUGGAUAGAGCGGUUGCCUCCUAAGCAACAGGUAGUGCGUUCGAAUCGCAUAUGGGUCA
rnacentral:tRNA from 1 species